UCCAUCCUCGUAUCUCAGGGCCUAGGAUGGUAUCUUACACAACGUGAAAAUUCAACACACAUUUUUAGAAAAAAAAAUGUGUGAAGAGUAGAAGGGAAUGAUAGCCAAGUUCCCAGGUGGUCCUCUUCCUUAGAGUUGAGAAACAAAAAUGCAUAGCAAACAACUGUCACUUACAACAAUUGAUAAAUUGGUAGUCAUCCCAGCUCAACUAUGAGAUAAAUGUAGAGGCUCAAGUUUGCAUGCAUAAUGGUGCAAUGUUGUUUUGGAAUAUUCAUUUCAUUUACAAUUGUGGGCCUAAUUGGGCAUACAUACCAACCAUAUGUAUUGUAAGUCAUCUCCACGCCAAAGAGAUCCGUGGGCAAUUCAAUAGCAAUUCAUAGCAUAUAAUUCCAGGUGAUUUUGUAAUUAUUUGAGAAACAUUGAAUAGUUGUGGGUUUCUUGUUUUUGGUCAUAACUUCAUUCAUUUAACAAGCAUUUGUGGAAGGUUAACCAUGGAUAGAGCCUCUCUCAGGGCACUGGAAGGUACUCUUUGUGCCCUUCUUGAGGUCCCAGUCUAGUGGGUGAGAUAGAAAGAAAACAUAAUAACAGUAUAAUAUGAUGAACUGUCCUUACCAGGGCUAUACAACAGAAAUACAACAUGAGCCACAAAAGUAAUUUAAAAUUUCCUAGGAGUCAUUUUAAAAAAGUAAAACAAACAGGUAUAAUUCAUUUUAACAGUACAUUUACUGAGCCCAAUAUAUCCAAAAUAGUCUUAUUUCAAUAUAUAAUCCAUAUAAAGAUAUAUUCGAUAUUUUACUAUUUUUCAUACUACAUCAUCAAAAUCUGGUCUGCAUUGUGACCUUACAGCACAUCUCAAGUUGGACUAGCCACAUUUCAGGGCCCCCAAGCCACACUUGACAGUGUGGGUCUUUACAGUGGGGCGGAGAGAAACUUCUUUGCUGUUGAACCUGAGGGGUGGGUCAGGAAAGGGGAUGAUCAACUGUACUAUAGGCUAAGGGUGGCGAGUAGUGUCUGGAAGGGCAUAGAAGAGGUGUGGGAAGCUGGAUCUGCCACCUGGCCCCAAGACACAAGUGUGACAGGUGAGCAGCUGCCCUGGAAAUGGUGGGGAGGGCAGGCAUGGUGUUUAGAAAGGGGGCUCAGGCAGAAACUCUGGAGCUCUGUGGGCCUGUGGUGCUCAGCUUCUCUCAGGCCAGUGGCUGGGUGUCAGACAGUGGCAUGGAAUGGGAGUGUGAUGAUUUUGGUCUCCUCUUCUAUCUGAGUGGAUCUUGUUCUGAAUGAGUGCUGAGCCUGGGAUGGAUCUAAGCCUUGGGGUAUCUUUUCACCUAACAGUCACUAUUUUCUGUGGUGGGGAAUCUCACCCCUGAGGGGCAGGUUUGGAGUGGCCAUGUCCUGCUGCCAUAACUGAGGGUCAUUAAUUCUGAAUCUAACUCAGGGACAAGAUAGGCCCUUUAUAGACCCAUUUUACAAAUGUGGACACUGAGGGCUCUGGGAGAUUACAGGCAACUGUCUAAGGUGUAACAGGUGAUAAUGGUAGAACCAGGAUAGAAACUGAGACAUGUGUGACUCACUCUGCUUUCUCCACAGCACGCUGCCCCAAACACGAAUAUCCCUGUACAAUACACUCCCCUGGGAAUUUGCAUGUUCAACUUUAUAAUCAAUCAGAAAGCACUUAUUUAUACUGACUGAUGGGAAAGAAUGCUAUGGCUACAUAAUGGGCCAAGGUGGCAGGUAAGGAUGCUGAUGUACCUAGGCUUCUAGAAGGCAUGUUCUCAGCUACUGCUGCAAAAAUCAGGGCAUCGAUGUGUCCAUCAGGAGACACCUGGUACAGUGGGAAAAACAAAGAACCUGGAGACUAAAACCCCCAGCUUUCCAUCCCAGCUGAAGGUCUGUGGCCACAUUACUUGAUGUCUCUGAACUUCACUCUCUUCCAGGGCUGUUUUGAGAAUUUAAAAAAAGGAGAAUCUAUUACAAGCAAAACAUGAAUCCCCAAAUCUGAAAUUUAGGACCACACUUCAUGGAGAUCGAGCCUGCAUUGUUCUUCUCAACACCAGCCAAGCCAAAACCACGAGAAAAGUUCUCAUCCAUGAUUUCUCCUCGCUUUCUCUGCCUCCGGACUAACGCCACUCCUUUCACCUAAGGCUCUGACGGUGUGGUGUGCCCCUUCCUCCUGGACACUGCACAGCACUGGGUUCUGAGGGAUGCCUUGCUCAAUGAGCUGGGCAGCAUGCUGGUCUUCAGAGACAUAGAGACGAAGGAUGCUGAAGUACCCGUGUGGGAGGACUUCACAGUCUCUUAUGG